GUCAAACUCCACUGAAGUAAUAACUUCUGGACAAGGUUCUAGUUUAUGGGAUGAUCCCUAUUUUGUGGCACACCUAACACAUUCUGGAGGUCCCAAUGACAACUAUUAUGGCUUACAUGCCACCAUGGAUGUGUAUGGCCAUGAACUAAAACAUGGCCAGUUGAGUUCGACUACUUUUUGGAUUAAUCAUGCCGGAGAUGGUAAAAAAUCAAGCUAUAAUGCGAUUCAAGUUGGCUGGCAUAUUAAUCCAAAUCGCUAUGGCGACUGACAUCCUCACUUCUACACCCGCUGGACGGUA